CGUACACUCCUACGGGAGGCAGCAGUGGGGAAUAUAGGACAAUGGGCGCAAGCCUGAUCCAGCCAUGCCGCGUGAGUGAUGAAGGCCCUAGGGUUGUAAAGCUCUUUCACCGGUGAAGAUAAUGACGGUAACCGGAGAAGAAGCCCCGGCUAACUUCGUGCCAGCAGCCGCGGUAAUACGAAGGGGGCUAGCGUUGUUCGGAUUUACUGGGCGUAAAGCGCACGUAGGCGGACUAUUAAGUCAGGGGUGAAAUCCCGGGGCUCAACCCCGGAACUGCCUUUGAUACUGGUAGUCUUGAGUUCGAGAGAGGUGAGUGGAAUUCCGAGUGGAGAGGUGAAAUUCGUAGAUAUUCGGAGGAACACCAGUGGCGAAGGCGGCUCACUGGCUCGAUACUGACGCUGAGGUGCGAAAGCGUGGGGAGCAAACAGGAUUAGAAACCCUGGUAGUCCC
rnacentral:rRNA from 1 species